UACGUAGGGGCCUAGCGUUGUCCGUAAUUAUUGGGUGUAAAGGGCUCGUAGGCGGUCUGUUGCGUCAGGAGUGAAAACUCGGGGCUUAACCCCGAGCCUGCUUCUGAUACGGGCAGACUAGAGGUAUGCAGGGGAGAACGGAAUUCCUGGUGUAGCGGUGAAAUGCGCAGAUAUCAGGAGGAACACCGGUGGCGAAGGCGGUUCUCUGGGCAUUACCUGACGCUGAGGAGCGAAAGUGUGGGGAGCGAACAGG
rnacentral:rRNA from 1 species